rnacentral:rRNA from 1 species
AGUGAACGCUGGCGGUAGGCCUAACACAUGCAAGUCGAACGGCAGCACAGUAGGGGUUGGCCCUUCGGGGGGCCAAGGGCCGGCCGGUUACGGAAAACUCGGAAUCUACUUUUUCCGGGGGGGUUAAGUAAGGAAAAUUUCGCCAAUACCCCAAUCGACCUUACGGUGGAAGGCAGGGGUUCUCGGACCUUGCGCGUAUUGAAGAACCGGAUGUCGGAUAAGCUAGUUGGCGGGGUAAAGGCCCACCAAGGCGACGAUCGGUAGCUGGUCUGAGAGGAUGAUCAGCCACACUGGAACUGAGACACGGUCCAGACUCCUACGGGAGGCAGCAGUGGGGAAUAUUGGACAAGGGGCGCAAGCCUGAUCCAGCCAUACCGCGUGGGUGAAGAAGGCCUACGGGUUGUAAAGCCCUUUUGUUGGGAAAGAAAAGCAGCAGGUUAAUACCCCGCUGUUCUGACGGUACCCAAAGAAUAAGCACCGGCUAACUUCGUG